rnacentral:rRNA from 1 species
CCCUUAGAUGUUCUGGGCUGCACGCGCGCUACACUGACGCACGCAACAGGUGCCUGCUCCGAGAGGACUGGGUAAUCAUUUGGGUGUGCGUCGUGAUGGGGAUAGAAUAUUGUAAUUAUUACUCUUCAACGAGGAAUUCCUAGUAAGCGCCAGUCAGCAGCUUGCGCUGAUUACGUCCCUGCCCUUUGUACACACCGCCCGUCGCUCCUACCGAUGGGUGAUCCGGUGAAUGAUUCGGACUUCAGCGGCUCCCCUGGGGUGCGCCGGAGAAAGUUUUGUGAACCUUAUCACUUGGAGGAAGGAGAAGUCGUAACA